ensembl:lncRNA
CUUGGAGUUGAGGCAUCUUCUAAAAUCCGUUGGUUUCGGACGACCUUUUAGGAUAGCAUUUGCGGUGACAUGUGACGUCAGGACGCUGUGUGCCUAAACUUGUUAGUUCUCUCCCGGCGGGCGCUCUCAGACAGUAUAGUCUUUUCCAGUGUAGUCGCUGUCAGUUGUGUAAACUUCGCUCUUAAAAUAAAAAGUCUUCAAAUCAAACAGGAUGGGGACAAACCGUUUAGUAGCUGUCGCUCUUCAACAGCUGAUGGAACGGGAGGAAGAAGACAAAGGACAGCCCACGACAAAGGAGAGCACACCGAUGACGCAUGCUGAUGUUGGCAGCGUAUUGCUAUCUGGCGAGUCUUGAGAGUCACACAACUUGUGUCAUGCCGAACUGAACAGGGCAGUGGCCGUUCUCAGGCUCUAUUUUGAGGGGGUUAGGGUUAGGGUUAACACUCACCCUGACCUUCCGCUCAGCAGAGCCUCCAAUACGGGUUGGCCGCAGCUUCUCAGCCAGGAGUGGCACCAUGGUCGGUGUCCAGCCAUAGAGAUGCUUGUGUUCCUGUUCUGGCUGGCCAGCGGGGCAUCCUACCGCAUUGUGUGCCGGGCAUUUGACAUGCCCAAGACAAUGGUGCACGACCUUGUGCAAUGUGCAUCGUGCCUGUGAGAAUGUCGGGGAAGUGAUGCCAAGAGUCAUCAGGGAGCCUUCCACUGCAGAGGAGAAUGGGGCUUUCUAUAGGGCCAUUGAUGGCUGUCAUGUCCGCAUCAAAGCCCCAGGAGAGCCCCCUGCCCAGUGUUACAAGAACAGGAAGCUAUUUGCAUCAAUUCAGCUUCAGGCAGUGUGUGAUCAUGCUGGCCGCUUCAUCAAUGUUUUUGUUGGUUUCCUAGGUUCCUGAAACCCAGUCACCUCUACCGCUGUGCCACAUAUCCACCCCCUCAUGUUCUUGUUGGGUGAUGGAGUGUUUCCCUGUCUGGACAGGCCCAUUUCCCUCAUCACACCAUUCAAGAAUCCUCUCAGGGGAGUGGCAUAACACAGGUUUAACACCCAUCAUGCCAGGGCUCGUUCAGUCAUUGAACGAGCAUUUGGCAUGAUGAAGACCAGAUGGAGGGACAUCUUUUUCCAUGGCCUGGAGGUGGACAUCACAUGAUGUCAUCGUGGUUUGCACCAUGCUGCACAAUGUCUGUCUGGGCAAUGACGAUGUCUUGCCCGUGGAUGAGGAGGACCUGGAUGAGCCUGCAGGGGGAGACAGAAUCCUUGAGACAGCCAGGGGUAGUGCCCUGUGCGACUACAUCGCAGAUGUGUUGUCUGUACUACAGGAGCGUAUUCCCGACAAUGAUUACUGUAUAUAAAACAUUCAAGUGAUUAAUGAAAUCAGCUCUUAGUGUUGAUGUUUACCUUGUUGUUCAUGUAGUUGUAGGAAUGCUGAAUGUGCAACGGUAAUGUUACAUACCCUCAUUAUUUAUAUGAAUCGUUAACGUGCUUCACAUUUACUUACAUAUACUUAUACACGUUUAGUUCUUGCUCAAUAAAUGGACAAGUGCAUGCAUUUUUUUUUUUAAAGGUUGGAUCUCUAAAAUUGGCCUUGCUGUUAAUACUAGAUUAGUGUAUAGCUAACGUGCAUUUUCUUAUUAUUUUAGUAAAAAUAAACGAUGGCCUAACGAUGUCCAUGCCUGAAGGGUACAGUACCCUACAGCUGAGAUGACAUUAAAAAUGCCAGUGAGACACUAGGCUAAUUUAUUGGCCCCAUACCAAAACGUAGAAAAGAUUUGUUGGCGGCCGUUCUGUGCGUUUUUUAAUGUAAGCAGGGUCUUAGAAGUAUAUUCUUAUAAUUGUAUUUGGCGGCACCCCUAGACUGUGGUCACGGCACACACCUAUUCACUACUGGAGAGGGCACACUUCGGGACACUGUCAUGUAGGAGCGGCAUAGAGGGCACCAUAACAGCACCGUUUCCAUUGGAAGGGCACCCAUAGAGAUCGUUAAGUUUAGAUCAUUGUAAGGGCACCUUACAGGGCCAUGCACCACAUCUUGAGCACUUCUUGCUCUAGAAGGCACAUCUUCAUCAUUUAUUGCAUGAAGGGACACUCUAGAGGGCACUCGGUAAUGUGUCUCCCCUGUGGAGGGCAGUCAAUAAGGCACCAUCUCUGGUUUUCACCUCUCUGGAGGGCACUUUAGCCACGCUCUUUCAACCAGAGGGACCCAUGGUGCAAGGGGUAUUCACUGUUAAAGUCCAGGCAGAAACCUGAUGUAUCAAGGGGGUUGCAUCUUUGGUCAAUUCAUUGUUAACUUUCAUUAAAGUAAAAAUGCAGCAUUUUGUACCACAAAUUGAGGUAGUAGGUGUUUGUGUUUCCAGCAAUGUGUGGCUUUCUGGCAAGACCUUCCUUGUUGCUAGGUAUUUGGCAGAUCAAAGUGUCGGUUAUCUUUCCUGAAGAAUGCAUAGGACGUGCGUAGUCUCCACUGUAACAACGUAAACGUUGGUAAUUGUGAUGGAGUUGAUCUAUCUCAAUGCAUCCACCAGGGGGAACAAGAGAACUGUGAUUAUUUUAUUGUAUUCACCUGCCCAGUUUCAACCUGUGCUCUUGUAGCCAGCCUUUGGUUGGUUUUCCGUGUCCAGUAGCAAUAGGUAAAAAGACUAGGUGCUGUCUCAUUCUGUGUUUUCCAGUUCUUUUUUUGUCCAAAUUGUGCAGAAAGGAAAUAUGUACAUUUAUUGAAGGAUGCCUACCAGUGCUUGCAGCUAAAAUCAAGACGAGGGUCGUUUUAUACUGAAUGCAUGAAUCUCUCAAUUAUCUUGUUGUCAUACUUAUUUCAUAUUAUAUCAUACUCCGUGUGUGGAUGGACACACGCAUAGUCUAUUUGCUGUCAAGAGCACACGUUGUCAACCCUGUGAUAGAGCUGAUCUCUGAAGUUUUUGAUGGGUCCACUAUUGUUUCGUGAAAAAAACAUAGAGCAUCCCUGUAUCCUCUAUUCAUGACACAGACCACGUACUAACACGGUAACAAACGGUCAGGAUU